AAUGCAUAGAUAUGACGCAGAACACCGAUAGCGAAGGCAGCUCACAAAAUUACUACUGACACUGAGGCACGAAAGCGUGGGUAUCAAACAGGAUUAGAUACCCUGGUAGUCCACGCUGUAAACGAUGAUCACUAGCUGUUUGCGAUACAUUGUAAGUGGUUAAGCGAAAGCGAUAAGUGAUCCACCUGGGGAGUACGUCGGCAACGAUGAAACUCAAAGGAAUUGACGGGGGCCCGCACAAGCGGAGGAGCAUGUGGUUUAAUUCGAUGAUACGCGAGGAACCUUACCUGGGCUUGAACGUAUGGUGCAUGAGUGUGAAAGCACUCUUUCCUUCACAGGACUUCAUACGAGGUGCUGCAUGGUUGUCGUCAGCUCGUGCCGUGAGGUGUUAGGUUAAGUCCUGCAACGAGCGCAACCCCUGUUUUUAGUUGCCAGCAGGUUAUGCUGGGCACUCUAGAAAGACUGCCUGCGCAAGCAGAGAGGAAGGUGGGGAUGACGUCGAAUCAGCACGGCCCUUACGUCCAGGGCUACACACGUGCUACAAUGGUCGGCACAGAGGGUGGCUACCCGGCAACGGGAUGCUAAUCUCCAAAGUCGAUCUUAGUUCGGAUCGAAGUCUGCAACUCGACUUCGUGAAGUUGGAUUCGCUAGUAAUCGUAUAUCAGCCAUGAUACGGUGNUACGUUCCCGGGCCUUGACACACCGCCCGUCAAGCCAUGGAAGUUGGGGUACCUGAAGUCGAUA
rnacentral:rRNA from 1 species